UUCUUGCAUGUCCACGAGAGCGCAUUCUUCGACAUGGCUCUUGCCGAAGAAUGGAGGAAGGAAACUCAGGAGAGGCCCUACCUUAGGCUAGCGUUCCUGUAUGUGCUCCCGCAGAGAACAGUGUUGCGCAUAACUUUUCCGGAGCCUCGCACCGCUAUUCGCCGAGUGCUAUCACGUGGUGCAAAACGACGUCAAAUGUUCAAAUGCUCCGCUGCGAAGCCAACUUUACGGGCGUGGCGCCAACUAGUUUCCGUCAGUGCCAUCGAAAUUGCAAUCAGCGGCCAGUCGAGCGUGCGUAGCAACGAUCGGCUCCGGGUUGCAGUAUGACGGGUUGCAGCGCACCAAACUGCGCAAAUCGCACGGAAGGUGGCAAAGCUUUUUACGCGGUGCCGUGCGGACGGACGAGACCGGCCGGUUCCGAAAAGGACGAGGAUAUGCGAGUGGCUUUGAAUUCUGGCCCUCAACGCUCCAAGAACCAGCACUCAUCCUCUGCUGCUACCAGCGACUGCUAAUCCAUUCCCUUGUACGAAAGAAAUUUGAUCUAGAAGCUCGUGCAUC